UACCAAGCCGACGAUCAGUAGCCGACCUGAGAGGGUGACCGGCCACAUUGGGACUGAGACACGGCCCAAACUCCUACGGGAGGCAGCAGUGGGGAAUAUUGCACAAUGGGGGAAACCCUGAUGCAGCGACGCCGCGUGAGCGAUGAAGUAUUUCGGUAUGUAAAGCUCUAUCAGCAGGGAAGAAAAUGACGGUACCUGACUAAGAAGCACCGGCUAAAUACGUGCCAGCAGCCGCGGUAAUACGUAUGGUGCAAGCGUUAUCCGGAUUUACUGGGUGUAAAGGGAGCGUAGACGGAGUGGCAAGUCUGAUGUGAAAACCCGGGGCUCAACCCCGGGACUGCAUUGGAAACUGUCAAUCUAGAGUACCGGAGAGGUAAGCGGAAUUCCUAGUGUAGCGGUGAAAUGCGUAGAUAUUAGGAGGAACACCAGUGGCGAAGGCGG
rnacentral:rRNA from 1 species